CAGAUGUGUAUUCAGAUUCAGACGUCUUAAUCUUAAAAAAAACAAAUGAGGCCUAAGUUUACCUUCUCUGGGGAUUCUUUUAAGGUGAUUGCAUAGAGUGAGUAGUGAAUCUGAACAAACCUAUAAUGAGAUGUGUGUAUUUCAGCUAAAACUUCAGCAUUUUCAAUGAGAAACUCUUUGAAGUAUGGUGAAGAGGUAAGUUUAUUAAAUGAAAUAAACUUCUGAUGAAGAGUUGAGCUAAGUUUUCAGUUUUUCCGUGGCUGCAGAUUAAAAUAGGACUUUUGACUUGCCCCCAGGGCUUUGGUCUAGUGGUAAGACCGCAACUCGUGAUGUGUGGAUUAGGCGCAUGUAACGGGUUCGAACCCUGCUGCAGACAGAAGCCUGGUAUUUAAGUGGAGAAGGGUAGAGGGGUGGGUCCAUUAACCACCGGUUUCAACUCAUGUGCCUCUGGACCCUUAGGAAUUUCUGGGUUAUCCCAACAAACAAAAAAAAAGGACUUUGUCUUUUGAGUAUAUGGUACUGUAUUAUUCAUAUUAUAGUCAUAGUUGGGCUUGCUUCCUCAUGCUUUGGGGGAAGGAUAGCAACUGCACAGAUAUUAUUGUUAUAUUAAUAUUGAUUGACUCUAGAUUAUUUUCUUGUCUUCUCAAUAGCAGGAAGCCAAGGAUAGCAGAACUUUUGGCCCUGUUUCCUUGACGGACAUAGUUGGUAGAGCUAUAUAUUGCCUGAGGACAGCAGUGGACCAUGGUCCUGUUAACAACAGUCACUUUAGCGUCCAGAAGGAUUCACCAGUCCUUGAAGUUGAAUUGGAUGUUGAUGAGAUGGCACGAAGUCACAAAGCAUAGGUUGUGUGUGCGCUAUGAGGAAAAGAUUUCCUAGGAUUACUGAUUUGGUUGUACCCACCCUCUUUUUCUUGUUUCCUCUUUUUUAUCCGAGCGAAAUUCAUUGGAAAAAAUAAAAGUUGUGUAUUAGUGAUUUUGGUACAUUUUCCUUCGACCAGAUGCUGUCAUCCCAAAGUGUUGAUCUUUCCUCUCAAUGAGGCACCGAACGAACUAUAAACCUUUGAGGUCUUCAGUUCUAUUUAGAACGUAUUUCAAGGCUGAAACUGUAGUAUGGAUGGAAGUUUGGAUAAGAUUUUCAAUAUGAUUCACUUUCGUCCAUGUUGUGGCCAAUUGACAAAGAAGACUAUUUAUUGCAGUAGCUUGAA